UACAUGUGGGGCAAGCGUUGUUCGGAAUUACUGGGCAUAAAGCGUGCGCAGGCGGUUAUGUAAGACAGUUGUGAAAUCCCCGGGCUCAACCUGGGAAUUGCAUCUGUGACUGCAUAGCUAGAGUACGGUAGAGGGGGAUGGAAUUCCGCGUGUAGCAGUGAAAUGCGUAGAUAUGCGGAGGAACACCGAUGGCGAAGGCAAUCCCCUGGACCUGUACUGACGCUCAUGCACGAAAGCGUGGGGAGCAAACAGG
rnacentral:rRNA from 1 species